CACAGUUCUGGUUGUGUCUGCAUGACUGACUCACUGAAGAAGGAAGACCCAUCCUGGCUAUGAGUGGCACCAACCAAUAGGCUUAUAGCUUGGAUGGAGUAAAAAAGGAAAGAAGAAGGAAGCCUCUUUUCUACUUCUUCAGAGGAGCUCCAGCCUUGGCCAAUGCCUUUGGAUGUCUGUCUCCAGGCUUCCAGCCUGACUGUUUAACCUUCCAGGGCACACCCUUUAGUCUUCCAGUGCAGGCUCUUCAGUUUUCCACCACAGACCAUUUACCUUCCUGAUAUGGAUGGGCAUGGAUCUCUGCAGUGAACUCAAGAGCUUUGAAUUUGACUGGAUCUUCCAGGACUCCGGUAUGCAGAUGGUUGUUUUUGCCUUCUUUCACAUCUGACUCUGCAGAAAAGGCUGUGUUCAGCAAUUGCAACAUAGGUGUCUGUGGACCCAUCUGAAGUUUUUUGUAAUUUAUGCCAACAAGUAAAAUGAUGUCCCACCAGUGGUUCUCCCUCCCUGGAAGAUGGAUCUAUGCUUGUAUAUUUAUUAGAGACUUCCACUGAUUUACUACAGAAGACACCUGGAUUUUCCUCUUCGCCCUGAAUGAUCCAUUCACCUUAUCAUAAUUUACAGAUUUUUAAAAUAUGCCUUUCAUCCCCAUGGCCAUCAGGCAUAUAUGUAAAUUACCUGAAUUUUGUUAGAAGAAACAAGGAAGAAAUCUAGCCCAAUUCAAAAGAAAAGAAGAAGGAAGUCCAUACAUUGCCUAAAAUUGGAGGCUUAUCUCCUGCUUACAAGAGUGAGAUUUCCCCGGAUCAUAA
rnacentral:lncRNA from 1 species